UAACCCUGAAUUAACAUGUUAUAUAUCUGAAUUAACAGGUCAUAACUCUGAAUUAACAUGUUAUAUAUCUGAAUUAACAUGUCAUUACCCUGAAUUAACAUGUUAUAUAUCUGAAUUAACAGGUCAUAACUCUGAAUUAACAGGUCAUUACCCUGAAAUAACAUGUUAUAACCCUGAAUUAACAUGUUAUAUAUCUGAAUUAACAGGUCAUAACUCUGAAUUAACAUGUUAUAUAUCUGAAUUAACA